rnacentral:rRNA from 1 species
GGGUGCAGCAGGCGCGAAAACUUUACAAUGCACGAAAGUGUGAUAGGGGGACUCAAAGUGCUUAUACAAUAGUAUAGGCUUUUGCCAAGUCAAAACUGCUUGGCGAAUAAGUGGUGGGCAAGACCGGUGCCAGCCGCCGCGGUAACACCGGCGCCACAAGUGGGAAUCGAUUUUAUUGGGCCUAAAGCGUCCGUAGCAGGUCUACUAAAUUGCUUGUGAAAUCGAAUAGCUUAACUAUUCGGAUUGCAGGUAGGACUGGUAAGACUAGAGACCGGGAGACGUUGGAGGUAUUCAGGGGGGAGCGGUAAAAUGCGAGAAUCCUCUGAGGACCACCUGUUGCGAAGGCGUCCAACAAUAACGGGUCUGACUGUGAGGGUCGAAAGCUAGGGGAGCGAACCGGAUUAGAUACCCGAGUAGUCCUAGCCAUAAACGUUGCGAGUUAGGUGUUGCAUAAUCUUCGCGAUUAUGCAGUAUCGUAGCGAAGGCGUUAAACUCGCCGCCUGGGAAGUACGGCCGCAAGACUGAAACU